rnacentral:rRNA from 1 species
GAUGAACGCUAGCGGGAGGCUUAACACAUGCAAGCCGAGGGGUAUUCAGUUGCUUGCAACUGGAGAGACCGGCGCACGGGUGAGUAACGCGUAUGUAACUUGCCUCAUUCAACGGGAUAGCCCGGGGAAACCCGGAUUAAUAUCGUAUAACAUCGGGACAGGCAUCUGUUCGGAUUGAAAGAUUCAUCGGAAUGAGAUAGACAUGCGUAUGAUUAGCUUGUUGGCGGGGUAACGGCCCACCAAGGCGAUGAUCAUUAGGGGUCCUGAGAGGGUGAUCCCCCACACUGGUACUGAGACACGGACCAGACUCCUACGGGAGGCAGCAGUGAGGAAUAUUGGACAAUGGGUGAGAGCCUGAUCCAGCCAUCCCGCGUGCAGGAAGACGGCCUUAUGGGUUGUAAACUGCUUUUAUACAGGAAUAAACCACCUUACGAGUAGGGUGUUGAAGGUACUGUAUGAAUAAGCACCGGCUAACUCC